rnacentral:rRNA from 1 species
CUUGCUUGUUGGGGUUGUAGGACACUCUAUACGGAGUUACAAAGGACGACAUUAGACGAAUCAUCUGGAAAGAUGAAUCAAAGAAGGUAAUAAUCCUGUAGUCGAAAAUGUUGUCUCUCUUGAGUGGAUCCUGAGUACGACGGAGCACGUGAAAUUCCGUCGGAAUCUGGGAGGACCAUCUCCUAAGGCUAAAUACUCUCUAGUGACCGAUAGUGAACCAGUACCGUGAGGGAAAGGUGAAAAGCACCCCGGAAGGGGAGUGAAAUAGAACCUGAAACCGUGUGCUUACAAGUAGUCAGAGCCCGUUAAUGGGUGAUGGCGUGCCUUUUGUAGAAUGAACCGGCGAGUUACGAUUUGAUGCAAGGUUAAGCAGUAAAUGUGGAGCCGUAGCGAAAGCGAGUCUGAAUAGGGCGUUUAGUAUUUGGUCGUAGACCCGAAACCAGGUGAUCUACCCUUGGUCAGGUUGAAGUUCAGGUAACACUGAAUGGAGGACCGAACCGACUUACGUUGAAAAGUGAGCGGAUGAACUGAGGGUAGCGGAGAAAUUCCAAUCGAACCUGGAGAUAGCUGGUUCUCUCCGAAAUAGCUUUAGGGCUAGCCUCAAGUGAUGAUUAUUGGAGGUAGAGCACUGUUUGGACGAGGGGCCCCUCUCGGGUUACCGAAUUCAGACAAACUCCGAAUGCCAAUUAAUUUAACUUGGGAGUCAGAACAUGGGUGAUAAGGUCCAUGUUCGAAAGGGAAACAGCCC